GACGUAGGGCGCGAGCGUUGUCCGGAUUUAUUGGGCGUAAAGAGCUCGUAGGCGGCUUGUCGCGUCGACUGUGAAAACCCGUGGCUCAACCAUGUGGUCUGCAGUCGAUACGGGCAGGCUAGAAUUCGGUAGGGGAGACUGGAAUUCCUAGUGUAGCGGUGAAAUGCGCAGAUAUCAGGAGGAACACCGGUGGCGAAGGCGGGUCUCUGGGCCGAUAUUGACGCUGAGGAGCGAAAGCGUGGGGAGCGAACAGG
rnacentral:rRNA from 1 species